rnacentral:lncRNA from 1 species
CGCCUUUUCUUUUUUUCUAGCAGGGCGCGACGCAGAUUGAGGAUUCCCAGGUAUGUUUUCUGUUAAGACCUUUGUGUAUGUCUAAUUGGCCUUUUCUUUUUUCUGGCAGGGCGCGACGCAGAUUGAGGAUUCCCAGGUAUGUUUUCUGUUAAGACCUUUGUGUAUGUCUAAUUGCGCCUUUUCUUUUUUUCUAGCAGGGCGCGACGCAGAUUGAGGAUUUCAGGUAUGUUUUCUGUUAAGACCUUUGUGUAUGUCUAAUGUUGCCUUUUCUUUUUUUCUGGCAGGGCGCGACGCAGAUUGAGGAUUUUCAGGUAUGUUAUCUGUUAAGACCUUGGUGUACGUCUAAUGUUGCCUUUUCUUUUUUUCUGGCAGGGCGCGACACAGAUUGGAGAUUCGCAGGUAUGUUUUCCGUUAAGGCCUUUGUGUAUGUCUAAUGUCGCCUUUUCCUUUUUUCUAGCAGGGCGAGACGCAGAUUGAGGAUUUUCAGGUAUGUUUUCUGGUAAGGCCUUUGUGUAUGUCUAAUGUCGCCUUUUCUUUUUUUCUAGCAGGGCGCGACGCAGAUUGAGGAUUUUCAGGUAUGUUUUCUGUUAAGACCUUUGUGUAUGUUUAAUGUUGCCUUUUCUUUUUUUCUGGCAGGGCACGACGCAGAUUGAGGAUUUUCAGGUAUGUUUUCUGUUAAGGUUUUUGUGUAUGUCUAAUGUCGCCUUUUCUUUUUCUGGCAGGGCGCGACGCAGAUUAAGGAAUUCCAGGUAUGUUUUCUGUUAAGAUCUUUGUGUAUGUCUAAUGUUGUCUUUUCUUUUUUUCUGGCAGGGCGCGACGCAGAUUGGAGAUUCGCAGGUAUGUUUUCUGUUAAGACCUUUGUGUAUGUCUAAAGUUGCUUUUCUUUUUUUCUAGCAGGGCGCGACGCAGAUUGAGGAUUCCAGGUAUGUUUUCUGUUAAGACCUUUGUGUAUGUCUAAUGGUUUCUUUUUUUUUUCCUUUAGGUCGUGUGGCCUUUUUUUUUUUUUGCAGGGCGCGCGACGCAGAUUGAGGAUUCCAGGUAUGUUUUUCUGUUAAGACCUUUGUGUAUGUCUAAUGUGCGCCUUUUCUUUUUUUCUAGCAGGGCGCGACGCAGAUUGAGGAUUCCAGGUAUGUUUUCUGUUAAGACCUUUGUGUAUGUCUAAUGUUGUCUUUUCUUUUUUUCUAGCAGGUCGCGACGCAGAUUGAGGAAUUCCAGGUAUGUUUUCUGUUAAGACCUUUGUGUAUGUCUAAUGUUGUCUUUUCUUUUUUUUCUAGCAGGGCGCGACGCAGAUUGAGGAUUUUCAGGUAUGUUUUCUGUUAAGACCUUUGUGAAUGUCUAAUUUCGCCUUUUCUUUUUUUCUAGCAGGGCGUGACGCAGAUUGAGGAUUUUCAGGUAUGUUUUCUGUUAAGACCUUUGUGUAUGUCUAAUGUUGCCUUUUCUUUUUUUCUAGCAGGGCGCGACGCAGAUUGAGGAUUUCAGGUAUGUUUUCUGUUAAGACCUUUGUGUAUGUCUAAUGGUUCUUUUUUUUUCCUUUAGGUCGUGUGGCCUUUUUUUUUUUUUUAGCAGGGCGUGACGCAGAUUGAGGAUUCCCAGGUAUGUUUUCUGUUAAGACCUUUGUGUAUGUCUAAUGUUGUCUUUUCUUUUUUUUCUGGCAGGGCGCAUCGCAGAUUGGAGAUUUUCCAGGUAUGUUUUCUGUUAAGACCUUUGUGUAUGUCUAAUGUUGCGCCUUUUUCUUUUUUUCUAGCAGGGCGCGACGCAGAUUGAGGAUUCCCAGGUAUGUUUUCUGUUAAGACCUUUGUGUAUGUCUAAUGUUCGCCUUUUCUUUUUUUCUAGCAGGGCGCGACGCAGAUUGAGGAUUCCAGGUAUGUUUUCUGUUAAGACCUUUGUGUAUGUCUAAUUUCGCCUUUUCUUUUUUUCUAGCAGGGCGCGACGCAGAUUGAGGAUUCCCAGGUAUGUUUUCUGUUAAGACCUUUGUGUAUGUCUAAUGUUGUCUUUUCUUUUUUUCUAGCAGGGCGCGACACAGAUUGAGGAUUUAGGUAUGUUUUCUGUUAAGACCUUUGUGUAUGUCUAAUGGUUCCUUUUUUUUUCCUUUAGGUCGUGUGGACUUUUUUUUUUUUUUGCAGGGCGCGACGCAGAUUGAGGAUUUAGGUAUGUUUUCUGUUAAGACCUUUGUGUAUGUCUAAUGUUGUCUUUUCUUUUUUUCUAGCAGGGCGCGACACAGAUUGAGGAUUUUCAGGUAUGUUUUCUGUUAAGACCUUUGUGUAUGUCUAAUGUUGCCUUUUCUUUUUUUCUAGCAGGGUGCGUUGCAGAUUGAAGAUUUUCAGGUAUGUUUUCUGUUAAGGCCUUUGUGUUUGUCUAAUGGUUCCUUUUUUUUUCCUUUAGGUCGUGUGGCCUAUGCUACAUUUGCUGGUAUGUUUUUUGUUAAGGCCUAUGUGUAUGUUUAAUGUUGCCUUUUCUUUUUUUCUGGAAGAGCACGACGCAGAUUGAAGAUUCGCAGGUAUGUUUUCUGUUAAGACCUUUGUGUAUGUCUAAUGUUGUGUUUUCUUUUUUUCUAGCAGGGCGCGACGCAGAUUGAGGAUUUCAGGUAUGUUUUCUGUUAAGACCUUUGUGUAUGUCUAAUGUUGUCUUUUCUUUUUUUCUAGCAGGGCGCGACGCAGAUUGAGGAAUUCCAGGUAUGUUUUCUGUUAAGACCUUUGUGUAUGUCUAAUGUUGCCUUUUCUUUUUUUCUGGCAGGGCGCGACGCAGAUUGAGAUUCGCAGGUAUGUUUUCUGUUAAGACCUUUGUGUAUGUCUAAUGGUUCUUUUUUUUUUCCUUUAGGUCGUGUGGCCUUUUUUUUUUUGCAGGGCGCGACGCAGAUUGAGGAUUUUCCAGGUAUGUUUUCUGUUAAGACCUUUGUGUAUGUCUAAUGUUGCCUUUUCUUUUUUUCUGGCAGGGCGCGACGCAGAUUGAGGAUUUUCAGGUAUGUUAUCUGUUAAGACCUUGGUGUACGUCUAAUGUUGCCUUUUCUUUUUUUCUGGCAGGGCGCGACACAGAUUGGAGAUUCGCAGGUAUGUUUUCCGUUAAGGCCUUUGUGUAUGUCUAAUGUCGCCUUUUCCUUUUUUCUAGCAGGGCGAGACGCAGAUUGAGGAUUUUCAGGUAUGUUUUCUGGUAAGGCCUUUGUGUAUGUCUAAUGUCGCCUUUUCUUUUUUUCUAGCAGGGCGCGACGCAGAUUGAGGAUUUUCAGGUAUGUUUUCUGUUAAGACCUUUGUGUAUGUUUAAUGUUGCCUUUUCUUUUUUUCUGGCAGGGCACGACGCAGAUUGAGGAUUUUCAGGUAUGUUUUCUGUUAAGGUUUUUGUGUAUGUCUAAUGUCGCCUUUUCUUUUUCUGGCAGGGCGCGACGCAGAUUAAGGAAUUCCCAGGUAUGUUUUCUGUUAAGACCUUUGUGUAUGUCUAAUGUUGUCCUUUUCUUUUUUUCUAGCAGGGCGCGACGCAGAUUGAGAUUCCAGGUAUGUUUUCUGUUAAGGCCUUUGUGUAUGUCUAAUGUCGCCUUUUCUUUUUUUCUAGCAGGGCGCGACGCAGAUUGAGGAAUUCAGGUAUGUUUUCUGUUAAGACCUUUGUGUAUGUCUAAUGGUUCUUUUUUUUUCCUUUAGGUCGUGUGGCCUUUUUUUUUUGCAGGGCGCGACGCAGAUUGAGGAUUCCCAGGUAUGUUUUCUGUUAAGACCUUUGUGUAUGUCUAAUUGUCGCCUUUUCUUUUUU